UACGUAGGGUGCAAGCGUUGUCCGGAAUUAUUGGGCGUAAAGAGCUCGUAGGCGGUCUGUCGCGUCGGCUGUGAAAACCCGGGGCUCAACCCCGGGCCUGCAGUCGAUACGGGCAGACUAGAGUGCGGUAGGGGAGACUGGAAUUCCUGGUGUAGCGGUGAAAUGCGCAGAUAUCAGGAGGAACACCGGUGGCGAAGGGGGGUCUCUGGGCCGUAACUGACACUGAGGAGCGAAAGCGUGGGGAGCGAACAGG
rnacentral:rRNA from 1 species